rnacentral:pre_miRNA from 1 species
GGGGGGAGGUCGGAUCCUGGGCUGUGUCCUGGCGCCCAGUGCUUCUGGUCUGCGCUGUUGGAUUUGGGCUCCAGGUGGCGCAGCCCCCU